rnacentral:lncRNA from 1 species
AAAGGGGGGACUCCCCGGCCUCUGCAUCAGAACGAUGCAUACGGCCACCUUUAUAGCUAAGCAAAUAGGUUCAACAAAGUCUUACAGUCUGAAACAAAGUAACAACAAGCUCACAAAGAGCCACAACGCCAAAAACAAAAAGCCAAAAGGCCACAACCGGCUAGCAUAACAAAGAUAGGAAAACUAGUCGCCUAUCCUAUUACAUGACCGCCAUCCAAACCGGUUGAAGAUAUCCCGUGCUACCAUCUCCCACCAGAUAGAUCCAGUAACCAAACGCUCCCUGGCCUCCGUCGGAGUGAGUAACGACCACAUACGGAUCAGCGCAGUGGCUUGGAAUAUAACCUGCAAAAAAUGAAUAUUUGUUGUUCUGUUAAAAGCCAAAUCAUUUCUGUAGUUCCAAAUUUCCCACAACAAAGCACAUACUCCUACACGAAUGUGUCUAGCUGUUUCGGACUCUAUCCCAACAAGCCACGUUCCAAAUAACGUACUGACAAAAUCCGAAGGAGUAAUGUUAAAGGCAAUGUGCACCGUCUGCCACAAAACUUUGGCCAACAGGCAAUCAAAGAAAAGGUGUUUGAUGGUUUCAUCUCGAUCACAAAAACUACACCUAGUAGAUCCUGUCCAGUUGCGCUUUAUCAAGUUAUCCUUUGUUAAUAUGACUUGUUUAUGUACAAACCACAUAAACACUUUAAUUUUCAAAGGAAUUUUGACUUUUCAAACAUAUUCGGAACUAGGAAUGGCGCUAGAGUUGAUGACAUCGAUAUACAUCGAUUUAACUGUGAACUCUCCAAACCUAGUAAGCUUCCAGCACAACUGAUCGGACUCAUGAGAUAGCUGAACCUUCAUCAGUCUACUCACCAGAUGAAGCCACGCUUCCCACCGGUUGCCAACUAGCGUCCUUCUAAAUUGAAUAAUAAGGGGGAUGGACUGCAUAAUCGUUGCAACAAAAGCAUCACGUCGUUGAACAAUACUAUACAGGGACGGAUACUGAAGCGCGAGCGGCGUUUCAUCAAUCCAAGUAUCCUCCCAGAAGCGCGUGGUAGUGCCAUUACCGACUAUAAACUUUGUCCUAUUAAAGAAGGCUGCUUUGACUCUCAUAAGCCCCUUCCAAAAAGGCGAGUCCGUCGGUCUCACUGUCACCUGGGACAAAGUUUUGGACUGCAGAUACUUACUACGGAGAAUCUGCGCCCACGUGACCUCAGUCUCAUCUGAUAACUUAUACAACCACUUACUAAGAAGACAUAUGUUCUUGACUUCAAGAUUCUCAAUGCCAAGACCCCCUGGUCCUUUGGUCGACAGAUGAUAUCCCAUUUUACGAGUCUGUAUUUUCUCUUUAGUUCAUCACUCUGCCAGAAGAAUCGGGAUCGAUAGAAGUCCAGCCUUUUCCUAACACCAACUGGUACUUCGAAGAAGGACAAGAGAAACAUAGGUAUACUCGUUGAUACGUCUCCAACGUAUCUAUAAUUUAUGAAGCAUUCAUGCUAUUAUAUUAUCUGUUUUGGAUGUUUAUGGGCUUUACUAAGCACUUUUAUAUCAUUUUUGGGACUAACCUAUUAACCGGAGGCCCAACCCAUAUUGUUGUUUUCUUGCCUAUUUCAGUGUUUCGAAGAAAAGGAAUAUCAAACGGAGUCCAAAUAGAAUGAAACCUUUGAGAAAGUUAUUUUUGGAACGGAAGCAAUCCAGGGGACAUGGAGUGCACGUAAGGGAAGCUUCAAGGUGGCCACGAGGCAGCGAGGCGCGCCCACCUCCCCUCGGCGCGCCCCCACCCUCAUGGGCCCCUCGUGGCUCCCCCGACCGACUUCUUUCGCCUAUAUAUGUCCAUAUACCCUAAAAACAUUGAGGAACACAAUAGAUCAGGAGUUCCGCCGCCCCAAGCCUCUGUAGCCACCAAAAACCAAUCGGGACCCUGUUCCGGCACCCUGUCGGAGGGAGGAUCCCUCACCAGUGGCCAUCUUCAUCAUCCCGGCGCUCUCUAUGAUGAGGAGGGAGUAGUUCACCGUCGGGGCUGAGGGUAUGUACCAGUAGCUAUGUGUUUGAUCUCUCUCUCUCUCUCAUGUUCUUGAGGUGAUACGAUCUUGAUGUAUCACGAGCUUUGCUAUUAUAGUUGGAUCUUAUGAUGUUUCUCCCCCUCUACGUUCUUGUGAUGAAUUGAGUUUUCCCCUUGAAGUUGUCUUGUCGGGUUGAGUCUUUAAGGAUUUGAGAACACUUGAUGUAUGUCUUGUCGUGCUUAUCUGUGGUGACAAUAGAAUAUUCACGUGAUCUACUUGAUGUAUGUUUUGGUGAUCAACUUGCGGGUUCAAUGAACUUUUGCAUAGGGGUUGGCACCCGUUUUCGUCUUGACUCUCCGGUAGAAACUUUGGGGCACUCUUUGAAGUACUUUGUGUUAGUUGAAUAGAUGAAUCUGAGAUUGUGUGAUGCAUAUCAUAUAAUCAUGCCCACGGAUACUUGAGGUGACAUUGGAGUAUCUAGGUGACAUUAGGGUUUUGGUUGAUUUGUGUCUUAAGGUGUUAUUCUAGUACGAACUCUAGGAUAGAUCGAACAGAGAAAGAAUAGCUUUGUGUUAUUUUACUACGGACUCUUGAAUAGAUCGAUCAGAAAGAAUAACUUUGAGGUGGUUCGUACCCUACCAUAAUCUCUUCAUUUGUUCUCCGCUAUUAGUGACUUUGGAGUGACUCUUUGUUGCAUGUUGGGGGAUAGUUAUACGAUCCAAUUAUGUUAUUAUUGUUGAGAGAACUUGCACUAGUGAAAGUAUGAACCCUAGGCCUUGUUUCCUAGCAUUGCAAUACCAUUUAUGCUCACUUUUAUCUCUUGCUACCUUGCUGUUUUUAUAUUUUCAGAUUACAAUUACCCAUAUCUACCAUCCAUAUUGCACUUGUAUCACCAUCUCUUCGCCGAACUAGUGCACCUAUACAAUUUACCAUUGUAUUGGGUGUGUUGGGGACACAAGAGACUCUUUAUUAUUUGAUUGCAGGGUUGUUUGAGAGAGACCAUCUUCAUCCAACGCCUCCCACGGAUUGAUAAACCUUAGGCCAUCCACUUGAGGGAAAUUUGCUACUGCCCUAUAAACCUCUGCACUUGGAGGCCCAACAACGUCUACAAGAAGAAGGUUGCAUAGCAGACAUCAAGCUCUUUUCUGGCGUCGUUGCCGGGGAGGUGAGUGAUUGAAGGUAUAUCUUUAGAUCUUGCAAUCGAAUCAUUUUGUUUCCUAUUUUAUCACUAGUUUAGUUUAUAAAAGAAAACUACCAAAAAAAUGGAUUUGAGUUUGUCUCAUACGCUUCAUCUGUUUAAUAUCUUUCGUGAGAAUGAUGGAAAGGAAAAGUGUGCUCAAGUGCUAGAAGAAGAAGAAGUCUAUAAAGUGUUUGGUACUAGAUCUUUAUGUGAUGAGCAUGAUUGCAAUUUUGUUAGUAUGAAUUCCUUGAAUAUCCAUGAUGCUAAUGAUAUUCAAAGCCACAAGCUUGGGGAUGCUAUGUUUGAUGAAGAUGAUAUGUUUAGUCCCCCAAGUUUUGAUGAGAAUAUUUAUUAUGAUGAAAGCAUGCCUCCUAUUUAUGAUGAUUAUAUUGAUGAAAGUGGGUUUGGAAGAGUGUGAACUCUAGAAAGUAAUAAUUCCAAUAUUUUGGAGGAUGUUAAUAUUAUUGUGAUAAUUAUGAAAGCGGAUUUGGUGAGGUCAUGACUUUAUUUAGUGAUGAAUCCACUAUUUCGGAAGAGGUUCCAAUUGAUUAUGAGAACAAAGCUACUAUCUAUGAUGAUUAUUGUGAUGACUUGUAUGCUAUUAAGAAUAAUGAUAACCAUGAAACUUGUCAUCAUGAUUUUAGUUUUCAAUUGGAUUAUGCUUCACAUGAUCGUUAUUUUGUUGAGUUUGCUCCCACCACUAUUCCGAAUGAGAAGAAUUUUGCUUAUGUGGAGAGUAGUAAAUUUUCUAUGUAAGUAGAUCAUGAAAAGAAUGGUUUAGGUGCUGGUUAUAUUGUUGAAUUCAUUCAUGAUGAUACUAAAAAUUAUUAUGAGGAAGUAACAUAUGCUUGUAGGAAUUGCAGUAAUAUCAAGUUUCCUCUCUAUGUGUUGAAAAUCUUGAAACUAUGCUUGUUUUACCUUCCUAUGCUAGUUGAUUAUUGUUCCCAUAAGUUGUUUGCUCACAAAAUCCCUAUGCAUAGGAAGUGGGUUAGACUUAAAUUUGCUAGUCAUAUUCUUCAUGAUGCUCUCUUUAUGUUUCAAUUCUUAUCUUUUAUGUGAGCAUCAUUGAAAUCAUCAUGCCUAGCUAAAAGGCAUUAAAGAAAAGUGCUUGUUGGAGACAACCCAUUAUUUAAUCUUACUGUUUUUGUGUGUUCACAUGAUUAUGCUACUGUAGUAAUCAUGUUUUAUAGCUUUUCUUUCAAUAAAGUGCCAAGCAAGACCUUUAGGAUAGCUUACGGUGAUAGUUGUGUUGAUCCUGCUGAAAAUCAGAAACUUUUUCACCUAGUAAAUUAGUUUUCAUAAUUCACAGAAACGUGAUUUUGAUCUGAUUAUUUUUGCUCUAGAUUGGUACACAAAUUUCUUAGGACUUCCUAAUUUCGUAGGAUUUUUGGAGUUACAUAAGUAUAAGUUUGAUACAGAUUACUACAGACUGUUCUGUUUUUGACAGAUUCUGUUCUCCGUGUGUUGUUUGCUUAUUUUGAUGAAUCUAUGAGUAGUAUAAGAGGGUAUGAACCAUAGAGAAGUUGGAAUACAGUAUAUAUUACACCAAUAUGAAUUUAGAAUGAGUUCACAAUAGUACCUAAGUGGUGAUUAAUUUUUUAUACUAACGGAGCUUACGACUUUUCUGUUGAGUUUUGUGUUGUGAAGUUUUCAAGUUUUGGGUAAAGAUUCGAUGGACUAUGGAAUAAGGAGUGGCAAUAGCCUAAACUUGGGGAUGCCCAUGGCACCCCAAGAUAUUGAAGGAUAACCAAAAGCCUAAGCUUGGGGAUGCCCCGGAAGGCAUCCUCUCUUUCUUCUCCAUCUAUCGGUAACUUUACUUGGAGCUAUAUUUUUAUUCACCACAUGAUAUGUGUUUUGCUUGGAGCGUCAUGUUGUUUUAAUUUGUUUUGCUUGCUGUUUGAAUAAAAUACCAAGAUUUGAAAUUCUUAAAUGAGAGAGAGUCUUCACAUAGUUACAUAAUUAUUUAACUACGCAUUGAUCUUCACUUAUAUCUUUUUGGAGUAGUUUGUCAUUUACUCGUGUGCUUCACUUAUAUCCUAUGAGUAAAUGGUUGAAUGAGUUGAAUGUCAUAAAUCUGAAAUUAUAUAUGUUUCACAUGUUUACCCCGUUGGGAGUAAUGACUUCACAUCUAAGAAGUAGAGGUAGUAAAUUUAUUGAAGGUUAGCAAGCAUUGUAUUGGUCACUUGAACAAUUCAUGAAAGAAUAUUUAAGGAAGAGAAAUUUCACAUAUAAAUAUACUAUCUUAGACAUCUUCUAUGAUUGUGAGCCCCAUUAAUUAUUUUCAAACCUGAGAAAAUUAGUUGAAGUUGGACAAGGAAGACAACGUAAUGAGUUAUGCUUGGGUGUAUUUGUAUAGAAGUUAUAUUGUUAUAGAUCCUCCAACAUGUGGUGCUUGCUUUUUAGAAUCCUUUGCUAGCCAAAAUAUCUGUACUAAGCGGGAAUACUGCUUGUGCAUCCAAAUUCCUUGAACCAAGUUUCUUCCAUGAGUGUCCACCAUACCUACCUAUAUGCGGUAUUUACCUGCCGUUCCAAGUAAAUUUGCAUGUGCUAAACUCUAAACCUUCAAAUAAUAAUCUAUUUUGUAUGCCCGAAUCGCUCAUGUAGUGACUAGGGGCUGUCAGUAUCUUCCAUGCUAGGUGGGUUAUUCUCACGAUGAGUGGACUCCGCUCAUCAUUCACGAGAAAAAUGGCUGGUAACCGGGAUGCCCAGUCCCAUGAUCAAAAGAUCAAAAUCAAAUCAAAAAAUAAUUGCAAACAAAACUCCCCCAGGAUUGAUGUUAGUUGGAGGCACCCGUUGUUUCGGGCAAGCCAUGGAUUGAUGAUUGUUGGUGGAGUGGAAGUAAAAACUUUACCAUUCUGUUUGGGAACCGCCUAUAAUGUAUGUAGUAUGGAAGAUAUUGGGAACUCUUGGUUGUUAUGUUGACAAUGAAAGCAUACCUAUCAAAAUUAUUUUCAUCUCUAUUUCAAAAUCGAGCUCUGGCACCUCUGCAAAUCCCUGCUUCCCUCUGCGAAGGGCCUAUCUUUUACUUUUAUGCAAGAGUCAGUAGUAUUCCUUCUCACUCUUACCUACUCUUUAGUUGGCAAGCAUCAUGUGUUGGGGAAUGAUCUAAGCAUAUAUGGCCAUGCAAAUAUAUUUGAUCAUGAAUUAUUGUUGUUGACAAUUAUCUACAUGAUAAGUGAGUUGGGAGGCGAAACACUAAGCCCCUAUCUUUAUCUGUGUUCGAUGGAUGCUAUUUGUUCUAAGAAUAUGCUUUGAGUGGUAGCAAUCAUGGAAGACUAUAUGAUAGUUGAGUAUGUGGAGUUUGCUAAAUCAAAGCCAUGACAUAGACCCUUCCUGAAAAUAAGAUGAAUUGUAAUCGUUUGAUGACUGGGAAUGAAGUUUGCUAGUUUUCAAGAAAGUUUAUGGUCUAUGCUUUAACAUGUGACUAACUUGUUACUUGAUAUUGAGAAGUUUUAUGAGAUGAACUACUGUUAUGACAUAUAAUCAUGCUAGAAAAGGUGAUUGAAAUUAUCAUUGAUCAAACUUGUGCACCUACUAGCAUUCACACUUCAUAAAUUCUUUCUUUUAUCAUUUACCUACUCGAGGACAAGCAGGAAUUAAGCUUGGGGAUGCUGAUACGUCUCCAACGUAUCUAUAAUUUAUGAAGCAUUCAUGCUAUUAUAUUAUCUGUUUUGGAUGUUUAUGGGCUUUACUAAGCACUUUUAUAUUAUUUUUGGGACUAAACUAUUAACCGGAGGCCCAACCCAUAUUGUUGUUUUCUAGCCUAUUUCAGUGUUUCGAAGAAAAAGAAUAUCAAACGAAGUCCAAACGGAAUGAAACCUUCGGGAAAGUUAUUUUUGGAACGGAAGCAAUCCAGGGGACUCGGAGUGCACGCAAGGGAAGCUUCGAGGUGGCCACGAGGCAGGGAGGCGCGUCCCCCACCCUUGUGGGCCCCUCGUGGGCCCCUCAUGGCUCCCCCGACCGACUUCUUUCGCCUAUAUAUGUCCAUAUACCCUAAAAACAUCGAGGAACACAAUAGAUCGGGAGUUCCGCCACUGCAAGCCUUUGUAGCCAACCAAUCGGGACCCUGUUCUGACACCCUGCCGGAGGGGGGAUCCCUCAUCGGUGGCCAUCUUCAUCAUCCCGGCGCUCUCCAUGACGAGGAGGGAGUAGUUCACCCUCAGGGCUGAGGGUAUGUACUAGUAGCUAUGCGUUUGAUCUCUCUCUCUCUCUCUCAUGUUCUUGACGUGAUACGAUCUUGAUGUAUCGCGAGCUUUGCUAUUAUAGUUGGAUCUUAUGAUGUUUCUCCCCCUCUACUCUCUUGUGAUGAAUUGAGUUUUCCCCUUGAAGUUGUCUUUUCGGAUUGAGUCUUUAAGGAUUUGAGAACACUUGAUGUAUGUCUUGCCGUGCUUAUCUGUGGUGACAAUGGGAUAUUCACGUGAUCUACUUGAUGUAUGUUUUGGUGAUCAACUUGCGGGUGCAACGAACUUAUGCAUGGGGGUUGGCACACGUUUUCGUCUUGACUCUCCGGUAGAAACUUUGGGGCACUCUUGGAAGUACUUUGUGUUGGUUGAAUAGAUCAAUCUGAGAUUGUGUGAUGCAUAUCGUAUAAUCAUGCCCACGGAUACUUGAGGUGACAUUAGGGUUCUGGUUGAUUUGUGUCUUAAGGUGUUAUUCUAGUACGAACUCUAGGAUAGAUCGAACGCAAAGAAUAGCUUCGUGUUAUUUUACUACGGACUCUUGAAUAGAUCGAUCAGAAAGAAUAACUUUGAGGUAGUUUCGUACCCUACCAUAAUCUCUUCGUUUGUUCUCCGCUAUUAGUGACUUUGGAGUGACUCUUUGUUGCAUGUUGAGGGAUAGUUAUAUGAUCCAAUUAUGUUAUUAUUGUUGAGGGAACUUGCACUAGUGAAAGUAUGAACCCUAGGCCUUGUUUCCUAGCAUUGCAGUACCAUUUACGCUCACUUUUAUCUCUUGCUACCUAGCUGUUUUUAUAUUUUCAGAUUACAAUUACCCAUAUCUACCAUCCAUAUUGCACUUGUAUCACCAUCUCUUCGUCGAACUAGUGCACCUAUAUAAUUUACCAUUGUAUUGGGUGUGUUGGGGACACAAGAGACUCUUUAUUAUUUGGUUGCAGGGUUGUUUGAGAGAGACCAUCUUCAUCCUACGCCUCCCACGGAUUGAUAAACCUUAGGUCAUACACUUGAGGGAAAUUUGCUACUGUCCUACAAACCUCUGCACUUGGAGGCCCAACAACAUCUACAAGAAGAAGGUUGCGUAGUAGACAUCACUCGUGAGCACCGAAUUAAUAAGAAUUAAUCAGCCUCCGUAUGAAAUGAGUUUGCCCUUCCAGCAACUUAGUUUCUUCUCAAACCGAUCCUCGAUACACUUCCAUUCUCUGUUUGUCAGCUUACGAUGGUGAAUGGGUAUACCUAAGUACGUGAAAGGUAAUGUCCCCAAUUCGCAUCCAAACAAUUGCCUAUAAGCCUCUUGUUCCUCAUUCGCCACCAAAAUAGAACAACUCACUUUUAUGAAAGUUAAUCUUCAAUCCGGUCAAUUGUUCAAAUAAGCAUAACAUGAGCUUCAUGUUUCUCGCUUUUGCCAAGUCGUGCUCCAUAAAGAUGAUCGUAUCAUCGCGUACUGCAGGAUGGACACACCUUCAUCAACUAGAUGAGGAACCAAGCCACCCACCUGACCGGCCUCCUUUGCCCUACCUAUCAAAAUUGCCAACAUAUCAACCACAAUGUUGAACAGAAUAGGAGACAUUGGAUCACCUUGUUUCAGCCCCUUGUGUGUCUGGAAAUAAUAACCUAUGUCAUCAUUCACUUUAAUUCCAACACUCCCUUUUUGCGUGAAAGAUUCUACCUGGCAUCACCAGGCUUCAUCAAAACCCUUCAUGCGUAAGGCCUAUUGAAGGAAAGGCCAUUUGACUUUAUCGUACGCUUUCUCGAAAUCCACCUUGAAAACAACUCCAUCUAGUUUUUUUGUGUGAAUCUCGUGGAGCGUUUGAUGAAGGACCACAACCCCUUCUAGGAUGUUCCUGUCCGGCAUGAAAGCAGUUUGGGAAUGCUGCACCACAGAAUGCGCAAUCUGCGUGAGCCUAUUAGUCCCGACCUUGGUAAAAUUUUUGAAACUAACAUUAAGAAGACAGAUGGGCCUGGAUUGCUCAAUUCUCACAACCUCUGUUUUCUUAGGAAGCAGGGUUAUCGUUCCAAAAUUAAGUUGAAAAAGUUGAAGCUGUCUAGAGAAUAAAUCAUGGAACAACGGCAACAAGUCCCCCUUAAUAAUAUGCCAACACUUCUUAUAGAACUCUGCCGGAAAUCCAUCCGGGCCGGGAGCCUUGUUAUUUUUCAUCUGUGAGAUGGCCUCAAACACCUCUUUCUCAGAAAAAGGAGUAGCCAAAAUAUCAUUCUCAACAGCAGUAAGUUGAGAAAUAUCCUCAAUCCUAGACUCAUCCAGAGAAACAUAGUUAUCCUCUGGAGGCCCAAACAACUGCUUGUAAUACUCGGUAAUGUAUAAUUUUAGGUUCUCUUGUCCUAAAAUCGUUCCUUCAUCUUGUUCAAGCUGAAAGAUCCUCUUCUUUCUGUGUUUGCCAUUGGCGAUCAUGUGAAAGAAUUAAGUGUUUGCGUCCCCCUGGACAACUCGUCGGACCUUGGCCCGCAGCACCCACUUUAAUUCCUCUUCACGAAGAAGCUCUUUCAAUCUCAUCUCCACGUCAAGCUUGGCAUGAAGCUCCGAGGCCGGCAGAACCGUGGUCUCUGCUUUUACAUCUAGGGACAGAAUAAGGGUAAGGGGCCUUUCCUUUUCGACCUUAUAAAUCCCACUAAGAUGCUUAGCCCACCCACGUAGGAAACUUCUCAAGUGCCUGAUCUUAUUCUACCAAUGCUCAAGCGCAUUCCUACCUCCUGCAUCCUUAGCCCAUUCUCUGGCUACGAGAUCAAAGAAGCCGUCUCGUUCAAACCAAGCCAGCUCGAACGAAAACGAGUUUUUGUUUCCCAUGUGGGUAGCCUCACCAGAGUCUAAUAAAGGUGUGUGUUCAGAAAUACCACGGGAAAGUGCCUGAACUGUUACGAAGGGAAACUUCUGUUCCCAUUCGAUGCUAGCCAGUACUCGAUCCAACUUCUCAAACGUCGGAUUUGGCAACGCGUUAGCCCAAGUGAACUUUCUUCCCGAAAGCUCUAUCUCUCUCAGAUCCAAGCUUUCAAUGAUAGUAUUAAACAUAAACGACCAUCUCCCGUCAAAGUUAUCAUUGUUCUUCUCCUCACGCCUUCUAAUAAUGUUGAAAUCACCCCCCACCAGGAUUGGAAGCUGCUCAGAGCCGCAAAUCCUAACCAGAUCAACAAAGAACCCAGGUUUGAGUUCGGGCUGUGCAGCACCAUAUACCGCCAACAGAGCCCAAUUAAACCCGUCGGCCUUCGACCGCACCCGAAACUUAACUGCAAAGUCUCCCAUCACCACACUUCAGACUUCUAGCAAAUUGCAUCUAACUCCGAGUAAGAUCCCACCCGAUCUUCCUCUCGGUGGCAGACAAUGCCAGUCAAAAUCAAUACCUCCUGAUAAAGUAUUGAGAAAUUGUGGCGAAAAAUUAUCUCUACUAGUUUCCGACAAUGCGAUAAAAUCCAGCCUAUGCUCGAUAGACGCCUCUACAAGAAACCUUCUUUUAGCCAAGUCUUUCAGACCUCUGCUAGUCCAAAAGAUUCCUUUCAUAUUUCGUCAUGAAUUUUUUUAGCCAUACGGAUCCUAGCACUCCUACGCACUGCGGAAGCCGGGUAGAUCUUCCGCUUCCACUUGCGUUUAGGUUUGUUCUGACUCUCCAACCGUUCCUCACAACUAGGCUCGGAGGAUCUAACCACGACAUUCUCAGAUGUAUCAUCCUCCUCCUCAGACUCAAGGAGGGGUGGUACAACAUCCGCACAAAAAUUAUCGAGCACCCUGCCCCCCAAAGCAUCAAAAUCGGAAUCAUUCAUGGGUUUAACUGCUGCUAAGUUACGAGUCAUCUCUAAAGCCCGCUCCGCCUCUAAAUCCAGGAUAUCAUUGACGGAAUUUGAAAUUUCACUAUCAUUACUACUUAGUGAAACUCCUAAUUGGAUUGCAUUACUAAUAAUCUCAUCAUUAGAAAAAAUGCAAAAUGGAAUUAGAGGUAUUAACCGACAUACCAGUAGUGACCUCAACGUCACGAAGCUUGGCCGCCCUCAUGGCGCACCGCUGCUGUAUGUCGUCCACCUCUAGAUGAUCCUGGAGACGGCAGCUCAACCGUCGCCCCUCAAAGACCGGAUCCGGAAUCCCUCCAAAUGCAAUAACCUCCUCCUGAGUGACCCUGCUCGGGGUGGGGCCUCCUGCCUCACCCCAAACACGCAGCUGGUCGGCCUCCGUCGACGAAACAACGGGAACACCUGAAAGUGGUGGGGCGCUCGACGGUGCCGCCAACGUCGAUCGCGCCCCACGGCAAAGAGUCGGAGACGUACUGAGGGAGGGGAGUGCGUGGGCCACCUGCCCGUACUCCCCACCCACCCUGACCCUCUGGCAAGAGGGGCUCACCGGCGCCACAGGAGGGGCGGCCACCCUAGGUGCCCCAGGGGAAGAGGGCGUCGAGGCCACCUGCCCCGAGCCCCCUCCAGAAGGCAGAAUCGCCACCUGCAGCUCCGGUACCGCGAGAGGAGAAGAGGGUGCCGAGGCCACCUGCCCCGGACCCCCCUCCCAAAGGUAAGACCUCCAACACCGAAACCUCGACCAUCGUGAGAGGAGAAGAGGGCGCCAAGGCCACCUGCCCCGAGCCCCCUCCAGAAGGCGGAACCGCCACCUACAGCUCCGGUUCCGAGAGAGGAGAAGAGGGUGCUGAGGCCACCUGCCCCGGACCCCCUCCCAAAGGUAAGACCUCCACCACCGGAACCUCGUCCUGAGGAGAGUCAACGUGUUGUGCAUGAGAGGGAGUGGCCACCUACCUAGACUCCUGCCCCUCUCCCCUGACCGAGGUUGGCGAGGCCCCACGAACGGGACUCACAGCAUCCUCAAAAUCCAAAGCAGGUAACGUGUGCUCAAAAACCUCGUCAGACUCCAUCCGAUCACUCCAAAGUCUCGGAGGCGCAGAAGUAGGCUCGAAAGACCCAAAUGUCAGAGAGGUCAUAGGCACCGAGGAGGGUGGUACCGUCCCAUCCUCGGGCGUCUGAGAAAAGGGCCCCGGUCCAUUGGACAACUCUCGUCCAGCAUCAUCGACCGGUGCCUCCUUAGCUCCCGAGCUGUCAUCUCCCUUGUGCAUGUCAACAUCAGCCCCGUUGGCCGCCUCGGCGAACAGAUCCUCAUCCUCAAACUCAAUCACGAGGUUAUAAUUCUGGCCUCGAUAUGUCCACUUGACCACAUCAGGCACAAACUCAAUAUCCAGAACACUCAGCAGUAGUCGGGCUACCCCGUGAGCUCUGGAAAAUGCCAUAUCCACUCUCUCGGUUUUCCCCACCAUAAUGCCCAAGCUAGCCACGACCCUAGCAUCCUGCAUCGGCUUCGAGGGAGCCCCGGAAAAACGCAGUCAAACCUGAGUAAGAGGCUUACCCUAAGGUUCGACCUUCUUCCACUCAUGGAACUCGAGGACACAAUCUGUGCCCGACACUUUGCACAUCCCAAAACUCAGAAGUCUCUGCUAAUCCUCAACCGAAGGGAACUCAACCCUAAACAUUUUUGCCUCGAGACUAACGAGCUCCCACUGGAAGUCACCUGGAGCUAACUCCUUCAGCCUCUGCACAAUCUGGGUCUCAGAGACCUCUCCUCUGGUAACUUUGACAAUCCCAGUUGUCAGACUCUGGGUCUCGUCAGGAAUGUCCCUCGCACUAGGAGACUCAAAGAACGUGAGCUCAGUACAAUACACUCCAUACAUCAUAGACGUUACCUGAUCUCGCAAAAUCGGACAUUCCCCCGAAUCAUGUGCCGGCUUGCCACAAGUAUCACAUAGAUCAGCCACGCACUCAGCAAUAAAAUGACCCUUCUCUCCACAACAAUAGCACAACAUUUUCUCCUUCUUGCGCGCCCAUUUGGACGCUCUAUCCGAGUCAGCCCUGUCUGUCGCCUCCACUGACGCUGACACCAUGGUCUCAUUCCCGGGUAUCUCAGCAUUAGCGAGAGCCGUCACCACACCCAUCGCCUGACCGGACAGUACCGACGCCUCGGCAGCCCCGACGGCGGCCGUCUACUCGAUAACUACAGGCGGAGGAGGCUGUCGUUGACGGAACCGGCCACCUCGACCACCUCGACCACCAUGAUGACCGCUGUAACCGCCCCGUUGCCGGUAGUCAGGGCCAGAUGCCCCCUCAACAAAACCGCCUGGAGGACCGAGAAAAGGUCUAUCGGCGGUACCAUCACUCUGCCAAGCGUAUCCGCGGCCACCACCCAUCGACGAGGAUCCGCGAUGUUGGCCAUCACCAUAAACAUUGUACCCAUCAUCUCCCCAUUGCCCUCGGGGAGGUUCUCUAGCUCCACCGGAAGCAGGGUCACGAGACUCUCCCGUCCCUCCGUUAGCAGUCCGAGGUGGUAGAGCAUGAGUCUGAACCGGUCCAGACCGCUUCUGCAUCGGCCUCGCGACGUGGUACGGCGGCGGCGCCGCCUGAGGUAGAUGAGCAGGCACGACGGUGGUCUUAGGCAGCGUCGACCGUGGCUGCGCAGCGCUGCCCUGUCCUGCUACCGUUCCCAGACCCUGCGGCCGAGGCCGAGGUCCAACAGUCGACCCACCCCGACCAACGGUAUUCACCGCAGCCGGAGCCUGCACCGGCGGCCUCGGCCCGCCUCGACCCACGGCGACGGGCGCAACAGCGAUCCCCAUCGGCUGCCUNNNNNNNNNNNNNNNNNNNNNNNNNNNNNNNNNNNNNNNNNNNNNNNNNNNNNNNNNNNNNNNNNNNNNNNNNNNNNNNNNNNNNNNNNNNNNNNNNNNNNNNNNNNNNNNNNNNNNNNNNNNNNNNNNNNNNNNNNNNNNNNNNNNNNNNNNNNNNNNNNNNNNNNNNNNNNNNNNNNNNNNNNNNNNNNNNNNNNNNNNNNNNNNNNNNNNNNNNNNNNNNNNNNNNNNNNNNNNNNNNNNNNNNNNNNNNNNNNNNNNNNNNNNNNNNNNNNNNNNNNNNNNNNNNNNNNNNNNNNNNNNNNNNNNNAUACGAGCCGCACGGCCAGCCCCACACGUAUGCAGCCUGGGGGUAGCACGAAUACGACGAACCCUAGGCGGAGGUACGGGCACAGGUGGAGAUCGAUUAGGAGGAGGCUGCGAGACGCAUGCGGCUACGUACGCAGCCUCGACGAUCGGCGUUACCUGGGCCUCAUGCCCAGGGACGAUCGGUCCGGCCCGCCCCGCCUCGCAGCUGGCAUGUUGGGCCACAUACCCAGUCAUGUCAGCGCAGGCCCGCUCAGCCGCCGGCCCAGGAGAGCCCAAUAGCAAAUUCAAACGCUGCUCCCUGGCCGCUCGGAUAUGAGCCGCCGCGCAGGUCGCCGGCGCUUGCUGCGCCUUCGCCGACCGGCCCUUCCGUUUCUUCUUUCUAGUCACCCUCGUCCAAGAAUCUGGCAGGAAGAAAUCCGACAAGGUAAGGGACUGGAUACAUACCUUGGGAACCG